CCUACGGGUGGCUGCAGUGAGGAAUAUUGGUCAAUGGGCGGAAGCCUGAACCAGUCAAGUCGCGUGCAGGAUGAAGGCUCUAUGGGUCGUAAACUUCUUUUAUACGGGAAUAAAGUGCGGGACGUGUCCCGUUUUGUAUGUACCUUAUGAAUAAGGAUCGGCUAACUCCGUGCCAGCAGCCGCGGUAAUACGGAGGUUGCGGGCGUUAUCCGGAUUUACUGGGUGUAAAGGGAGCGCAGGCGGGAAGUCAAGUCAGCUGUGAAAGCUACGGGCUUAACUUGUAGACUGCAGUUGAAACUGGCGUUCUUGAGUGCAGUAGAGGUAGGCGGAAUUCGGAGUGUAGCGGUGAAAUGCGUAGAUAUGAGGAGGAACACCGGUGGCGAAGGCGGCUAACUGGGCUUUAACUGACGCUGAUGCUCGAAAGUGUGGGUAGCAAACAGGAUUAGAUACCCCUGUAGUC
rnacentral:rRNA from 1 species